GGGUUGUGAGGUUAAGCGACUAAGCGUACACGGUGGAUGCCCUGGCAGUCAGAGGCGAUGAAGGGCGUGCUAAUCUGCGAUAAGCGCCGGUAAGGUGAUAUGAACCGUUAUAACCGGCGAUACCCGAAUGGGGAAACCCAGUGUGACUCGUCACACUAUCAUUAACUGAAUCCAUAGGUUAAUGAGGCGAACCGGGGGAACUGAAACAUCUAAGUACCCCGAGGAAAAGAAAUCAACCGAGAUUCCCCCAGUAGCGGCGAGCGAACGGGGAGGAGCCCAGAGCCUGAAUCAGCAUGUGUGUUAGUGGAAGCGUCUGGAAAGGCGCGCGAUACAGGGUGACAGCCCCGUACACAAAAGCGCAUGUGCUGUGAGCUCGAUGAGUAGGGCGGGACACGUGGUAUCCUGUCUGAAUAUGGGGGGACCAUCCUCCAAGGCUAAAUACUCCUGACUGACCGAUAGUGAACCAGUACCGUGAGGGAAAGGCGAAAAGAACCCCGGCGAGGGGAGUGAAAAAGAACCUGAAACCGUGUACGUACAAGCAGUGGGAGCCCCACCACCAAAGCAUUCUCUGGUGUUGAAGGCCCUGCAAAGCAGCAUCGCGGUGGCGGAGCGUCGUUUGCGACGCCCAACACACAAAACAAGCGGUGAAUGCUUUGGGGUGGGGUGACUGCGUACCUUUUGUAUAAUGGGUCAGCGACUUAUAUUCUGUAGCAAGGUUAACCGAAUAGGGGAGCCGGAGGGAAACCGAGUCUUAAUUGGGCGUUAAGUUGCAGGGUAUAGACCCGAAACCCGGUGAUCUAGCCAUGGGCAGGUUGAAGGUUGGGUAACACUAA
rnacentral:rRNA from 1 species